rnacentral:rRNA from 1 species
GACGAACGCUGGCGGCAUGCCUAAUACAUGCAAGUCGAGCGAACAGAUGAAGUGCUUGCACUUCUGACGUUAGCGGCGAACGGGUGAGUAACACGUAAGGAAUCUACCUAUAAGCGGGGGAUAACAUUCGGAAACGGGUGCUAAUACCGCAUAAUAUCUUCUUCCGCAUGGAAGAAGAUUGAAAGACGGCUCUGCUGUCACUUAUAGAUGACCUUGCGGUGCAUUAGUUAGUUGGUGGGGUAAUGGCCUACCAAGACGAUGGUGCAUAGCCGACCUGAGAGGGUGAUCGGCCACAUUGGGACUGAGACACGGCCCAAGCUCCUACGGGAGGCAGCAGUAGGGAAUCUGCCGCAAUGGGCGAAAGCCUGACGGAGCAAUGCCGCGUGAGUGAAGAAGGCCUUCGGGUCGUAAAACUCUGUUAUAAGAGAAGAACAAAUUGUAGAGUAACUGCUACAGUCUUGACGGUAUCUUAUCAGAAAGCCACGGCUAACUACGUGCCAGCCGCCGCGGUAA